GUGCCAGCAGCCGCGGUAAUACGUAGGGCGCAAGCGUUAUCCGGAAUUAUUGGGCGUAAAGAGCUCGUAGGCGGUUUGUCGCGUCUGCCGUGAAAGUCCGGGGCUCAACCCCGGAUCUGCGGUGGGUACGGGCAGACUAGAGUGAUGUAGGGGAGACUGGAAUUCCUGGUGUAGCGGUGAAAUGCGCAGAUAUCAGGAGGAACACCGAUGGCGAAGGCAGGUCUCUGGGCAUUAACUGACGCUGAGGAGCGAAAGCAUGGGGAGCGAACAGGAUUAGAUACCCUGGUAGUCCAUGCCGUAAAUGUUGGGCACUAGGUGUGGGGGACAUUCCACGUUUUCCGCGCCGUAGCUAACGCAUUAAGUGCCCCGCCUGGGGAGUACGGCCGCAAGGCUAAAACUCAAAGGAAUUGACGGGGGCCCGCACAAGCGGCGGAGCAUGCGGAUUAAUUCGAUGCAACGCGAAGAACCUUACCAAGGCUUGACAUGAACUGGAAAUACCUGGAAACAGGUGCCCCGCUUGCGGUCGGUUUACAGGUGGUGCAUGGUUGUCGUCAGCUCGUGUCGUGAGAUGUUGGGUUAAGUCCCGCAACGAGCGCAACCCUCGUUCUAUGUUGCCAGCACGUUAUGGUGGGGACUCAUAGGAGACUGCCGGGGUCAACUCGGAGGAAGGUGAGGACGACGUCAAAUCAUCAUGCCCCUUAUGUCUUGGGCUUCACGCAUGCUACAAUGGCCGGUACAAUGGGUUGCGAUACUGUGAGGUGGAGCUAAUCCCAAAAAGCCGGUCUCAGUUCGGAUUGGGGUCUGCAACUCGACCCCAUGAAGUCGGAGUCGCUAGUAAUCGCAGAUCAGCAACGCUGCGGUGAAUACGUUCCCGGGCCUUGUACACACCGCCCGUCAAGUCACGAAAGUUGGUAACACCCGAAGCCGGUGGCCUAACCCCCUUGUGGGGAGGGAGCUGUCGAAGGUGGGACUGGCGAUUGGGACUAAGUCGUAACAAGGUAACC
rnacentral:rRNA from 1 species